AUCCUGGCAUAGGAUUCAUGCUAGGUAGCAGUGUAAAGGAAUCCUUUAGUCCUUCAAAGGAUUCCUUUGACUAGAUUCGAGCUUGAAUCCUCAAUCCUUCACGCACAGACUGACGGGAAGGUUUCACAGAAGGCAACCCCACAAAAUGGCGGCGCCCCUAAUUUACGUGGGUCCAGAGGAUCGAAAGUGAAAUAAGGUCAUAGAAAUUUCCGGAGAAGUUAUUAUUGGCGGUUGCAACUUAUUUCUCAUCGAGGGAAGGUUUCAAGCUGCUGGUAGGCAUGUUGGGAAGCUGCCCAAAGCGAGGCCCGCGGUUCGGUUAAAAUUCGUCUGCAGGCGCUCGUCUGCGUUUGUUGUGGUUUUUUUGCAUCGAACUUACGGAUUGAUUUUGACUGUCUCUCUGGCUCUGGGAUUGCCUGAAGGAACAGCCCGUGGACAUCUAUAGUUGUUGGGACAACAGCAACAUUCUGUUUCAGCUGCUUGGAACUCAACCAUGAGAAUUCACUCCACCUCCCAGAAGUAUGGAUGAAUACUAGUACGUUUCCAACCCACAUGGAUCCUAAAGCCUGUCUGCGGCGCCAUGACGACUAUAGAUGUACAACUGGAUCAUCACCCAGAGCCCUAGCCUUAAAGUGUAUGAUGAUGCAGGACCUGCUUGGAGAUUAACCUGAAUGCCGAGAUGAGCAUGAUUGGGAUCCACACUGUUUUCCAUUCCUUUGUGGAAGCGCAAGGUGAGUGAAUAGAUGGACAGGUUCAUCAAACUAUGUGAGUCUUUAGUAUCACCAGAAAAAGCUGAUGCCUCUUUGCCUGUUGGAAUAAAAAAAAUUUGUACAAGUUACAUACAUCACACCAAUAAUUCUUUAUUGGUCAGAAAUUUUGGGUGCCUAAAAGCUUGAAAUACUGUCUGAUUCUUUUAGUUUAGGAUCUGGGUGGUAAAUCUCAAUUUUAUCCACAGUUCUAGAGCUAGAUUGAAUUGCAUUUGAUUUUUUUGUGUUUAAUUUGUAAUACUAUGUUCGCAGCAGUCUCUGAUAUGAAGAGAUUUCUUCAAUAUGUCCCCCAAAAUGGCAUAUAUAAAACAUUCAUAUGGCAGCCUGACAGGGUGGUGGAAAUUGGACUGCCAUUCCCAAGAUGAAAUAUUUUCUCCUGGACAGAGGAACAAUAUGGCCAAUCAAUUUGUUGACUUAGUCCUACAGCAGGGUAGCAGACUACCUUAGGAGAACAAUGGAAAAUUCCAAGCUUGUCACACCUUUUACCUGUCAUGCCAGACAGCCGGCUUGGGUUGUGGUAAUAGUAAGCUUGGGUUGUGGUGAUAACAAUAAACAGAGUGUCAAACACUGGAGUAUUUGAAGAGAAAAAUAGUUGUUUUCCAAAUUCAACAUAUAUACACACACAAUCAUAGGUCCCUGAGGGAUAUAAUAAGCUAAAAAGAACUAAUUUUGGUCCAACAGACCAGGAUGAUCUAGUUGUCAAACUGACUCAAAGGUGUGUAUCCUUGAUCUAAGCUAAAUGGCUUUGUACAGGACACAAUAUGUGCCUGGUGACAGCAUCCAUUCAUUCCCUCUGUUGAAAGACUUUCUUAUACAUGUACAGUGUGUUAAUGGUUGUCUAAAAUGGUAAUGGAGUGUUUGAUAGUGUAACAUCAUUUACUUGCUUUUAAUUGUAAUUCCUAGGAAAGAAAAUGUUGUGUUCCCUGUUUCAGUCCUGAAAAGAAUAGGGUCGCUGUACAACUCCUUUUAGGAGUUUCAGAAGAUCUGCAACAGGCAGCUCAGGAGAGGGAUGGAGUCACCUUAGACAGUGCUGUGGACCAGUAGGGAAGGGGAAAAGGAGCAGGAAGGACAAAGAAAAAGGGAAAGAAGAAUGUGCCCCCAAAUCAGUUUGAUUCAGAAGAUGACAUCCCUCUUACUGAACUGAUGUCCUAGGAAGAACGAGAUGGCUGUACUAGUAUGCAUGAGAGGGCUAUAUUAGCCUAUAUGUGCAUUUACUGUGACCUACAACAAAACACCUCAUUUUUAUUACUUACUAUUACGUAGUAACCUGGCUAGUCAAAAACAAACACAAUGUCUAGUUGAUGAAUGUUAGCAGACAGCAAAAUGUGAUGAUUUAAAAAGAAAUAAACAGAAAUUUCAUAUUCUGAAAAAGACAAUGGUGUUUAUUUUGUUCAACGUGUAUGCAACAUGAAUUUAGAUGGCGUCAUUA